rnacentral:rRNA from 1 species
UGUGAGCUCGAUGAGUAGGGCGGGACACGUGGUAUCCUGUCUGAAUAUGGGGGGACCAUCCUCCAAGGCUAAAUACUCCUGACUGACCGAUAGUGAACCAGUACCGUGAGGGAAAGGCGAAAAGAACCCCGGCGAGGGGAGUGAAAAAGAACCUGAAACCGUGUACGUACAAGCAGUGGGAGCACGCUUAGGCGUGUGACUGCGUACCUUUUGUAUAAUGGGUCAGCGACUUAUAUUCUGUAGCAAGGUUAACCGAAUAGGGGAGCCGAAGGGAAACCGAGUCUUAACUGGGCGUUAAGUUGCAGGGUAUAGACCCGAAACCCGGUGAUCUAGCCAUGGGCAGGUUGAAGGUUGGGUAACACUAACUGGAGGACCGAACCGACUAAUGUUGAAAAAUUAGCGGAUGACUUGUGGCUGGGGGUGAAAGGCCAAUCAAACCGGGAGAUAGCUGGUUCUCCCCGAAAGCUAUUUAGGUAGCGCCUCGUGAAUUCAUCUCCGGGGGUAGAGCACUGUUUCGGCAAGGGGGUCAUCCCGACUUACCAACCCGAUGCAAACUGCGAAUACCGGAGAAUGUUAUCACGGGAGACACACGGCGGGUGCUAACGUCCGUCGUGAAGAGGGAAACAACCCAGACCGCCAGCUAAGGUCCCAAAGUCAUGGUUAAGUGGGAAACGAUGUGGGAAGGCCCAGACAGCCAGGAUGUUGGCUUAGAAGCAGCCAUCAUUUAAAGAAAGCGUAAUAGCUCACUGGUCGAGUCGGCCUGCGCGGAAGAUGUAACGGGGCUAAACCAUGCACCGAAGCUGCGGCAGCGACGCUUAUGCGUUGUUGGGUAGGGGAGCGUUCUGUAAGCCUGCGAAGGUGUGCUGUGAGGCAUGCUGGAGGUAUCAGAAGUGCGAAUGCUGACAUAAGUAACGAUAAAGCGGGUGAAAAGCCCGCUCGCCGGAAGACCAAGGGUUCCUGUCCAACGUUAAUCGGGGCAGGGUGAGUCGACCCCUAAGGCGAGGCCGAAAGGCGUAGUCGAUGGGAAACAGGUUAAUAUUCCUGUACUUGGUGUUACUGCGAAGGGGGGACGGAGAAGGCUAUGUUGGCCGGGCGACGGUUGUCCCGGUUUAAGCGUGUAGGCUGGUUUUCCAGGCAAAUCCGGAAAAUCAAGGCUGAGGCGUGAUGACGAGGCACUACGGUGCUGAAGCAACAAAUGCCCUGCUUCCAGGAAAAGCCUCUAAGCAUCAGGUAACAUCAAAUCGUACCCCAAACCGACACAGGUGGUCAGGUAGAGAAUACCAAGGCGCUUGAGAGAACUCGGGUGAAGGAACUAGGCAAAAUGGUGCCGUAACUUCGGGAGAAGGCACGCUGAUAUGUAGGUGAAGUCCCUCGCGGAUGGAGCUGAAAUCAGUCGAAGAUACCAGCUGGCUGCAACUGUUUAUUAAAAACACAGCACUGUGCAAACACGAAAGUGGACGUAUACGGUGUGACGCCUGCCCGGUGCCGGAAGGUUAAUUGAUGGGGUCAGCGCAAGCGAAGCUCUUGAUCGAAGCCCCGGUAAACGGCGGCCGUAACUAUAACGGUCCUAAGGUAGCGAAAUUCCUUGUCGGGUAAGUUCCGACCUGCACGAAUGGCGUAAUGAUGGCCAGGCUGUCUCCACCCGAGACUCAGUGAAAUUGAACUCGCUGUGAAGAUGCAGUGUACCCGCGGCAAGACGGAAAGACCCCGUGAACCUUUACUAUAGCUUGACACUGAACAUUGAGCCUUGAUGUGUAGGAUAGGUGGGAGGCUUUGAAGUGUGGACGCCAGUCUGCAUGGAGCCGACCUUGAAAUACCACCCUUUAAUGUUUGAUGUUCUAACGUUGACCCGU